CCUACGGGAGGCAGCAGUGAGGAAUAUUGGUCAAUGGACGAGAGUCUGAACCAGCCAAGUAGCGUGAAGGAAGACUGCCCUAUGGGUUGUUAACUUCUUUUAUAAAGGAAUAAAACGAAACACGUGUGACCUUUUGCAUGUACUUUAUGAAUAAGGAUCGGCUAACUCCGUGCAAGCAGCCGCGGUAAUACGGAGGAUCCGAGCGUUAUCCGGAUUUCUUGGGUUUAAAGGGAGCGUAGAUGGGUUGUUAAGUCAGUUGUGAAAGUUUGGGGCUCAACCGUAAAAUUGCAAAUGAUACUGGGAGACUAGAGUACAGUUGAGGUAGGCGGAAUUCGUGGUGUAGCGGUGAAAUGCGUAGAUAUCACGAAGAACCCCGAUUGCGAAGGCAGCUUACUAAACUGUGACUGACAUUGAGGCUCGAAAGUGUGGGUAUCAAACAGGAUUAGAUACCCCAGUAGUC
rnacentral:rRNA from 1 species